rnacentral:rRNA from 1 species
UACGAAGGGGGCUAGCGUUGCUCGGAAUCACUGGGCGUAAAGGGUGCGUAGGCGGGUCUUUAAGUCAGGGGUGAAAUCCUGGAGCUCAACUCCAGAACUGCCUUUGAUACUGAAGAUCUUGAGUUCGGGAGAGGUGAGUGGAACUGCGAGUGUAGAGGUGAAAUUCGUAGAUAUUCGCAAGAACACCAGUGGCGAAGGCGGGUCUCUGGACAGUUCCUGACGCUGAGGCACGAAGGUCAGGGGAGCAAACGGG